rnacentral:rRNA from 1 species
CCCCUAGAUGUUCUGGGCCGCACGCGCGCUACACUGAACAGUUCAACAAGUCUUAACCUUGGCCGAUAGGUCUGGGUAAUCUUUGAACGCUGUUCGUGAUUGGGAUAGACUUUUGCAAUUUUUGGUCUUCAACGAGGAAUUCCUAGUAAACGCAAGUCAUCAACUUGCAUUGAUUACGUCCCUGCCCUUUGUACACACCGCCCGUCGCACCUACCGAUUGAAUGGUCCGGUGAAGCCUCCGGAUUGGUGCGCACCUCGGUGCCGCCGAGAAGUUGGCUAAACCUUACCAUUUAGAGGAAGGUGAAGUCGUAACA